GUGAAAUCAACUUAGAUACCAGUUCGAAGGCGGAAGAGGAGGAAGCGUUUCCCAGCAGCUAUAAUUGAAGAUGACUUGAACUCCAGUUUUUAUUUGUUCAAUGCUUUGAAUGCUGACAGUAUAAAGUAGUUCAAAGCAGACCAGAAAUGUAAUCCAAAAAAGAAAAGGAAGCCUAAAAAGUUGCAGAAUAGUGUCCAUUUUGAUACAACUACUGUAGAUUUGAAAGCAGAGAAAGAGAACAGGAAAAAGAGUAAAAUGGAGGGAACUAUGAGGAAAGAGGGUGUUGCUGCAGCAAAAAAGUACAAAUUUUUCCAGCCAGAAGUAAAGGUCUUCAGCGAUGUCACACACAGCCCAAACACAACAUUUGAUAGGUUACUUCACAGUUCCAGGAAACCAUUGGUCGACAAAAAUUCGUUGAGUGGUGUGAAACAUCAGGUUGAACACAAUGACUCAG